GAAAAAGGUGGUUGCAGUUAAAAGCUCGUAGUUGGAUUUCGGGUGGGUUCUAGCGGUCCGCCUAUGGUGAGUACUGCUAUGGCCUUCCUUUCUGUCGGGGACGGGCUUCUGGGCUUAAUUGUCCGGGACUCGGAGUCGACGUGGUUACUUUGAGUAAAUUAGAGUGUUCAAAGCAGGCUUACGCCCUGAAUACUUUAGCAUGGAAUAACACGAUAGGACUCUGGCCUAUCUUGUUGGUCUGUAGGACUGGAGUAAUGAUUAAGAGGGACAGUCGGGGGCAUUCGUAUUUCAUUGUCAGAGGUGAAAUUCUUGGAUUUAUGAAAGACGAACUACUGCGAAAGCAUUUGCCAAGGAUGUUUUCAUUAAUCAAGAACGAAAGUUGGGGGCUCGAAG
rnacentral:rRNA from 1 species